CGCAUCUGUGCAUGCAGCAUAUCAAUAAGCGGAGGAAAAGGCAUACCUACGCUUAGGAUGUUGACACACGCGCGUGCUCGACUCUAUACAUGACUCUGUGCAUAUCAAUAAGCGGAGGAAAAGAAACUAACAAGGAUUCCCCUAGUAACGGCGAGUGAAGCGGGAAGAGCUCAAAUUUGAAAUCUUAAAGGGUUUCCCUUUACGAAUUGUAGUUUAAAGAAGUGUUUUCUGUUGAGGUUUUGGUAAAAGUUCUUUGGAAUAGGACAUCAUAGAGGGUGAGAAUCCCGUAUUUGACCUUUACUUUCAACUUUGUGAUACACUUUCAAAGAGUCGGAUUGUUUGGGAAUGCAGUCCAAAAUGGGUGGUAAAUUUCAUCUAAAGCUAAAUAUUGGCGAGAGACCGAUAGCGAACAAGUACCGUGAGGGAAAGAUGAAAAGAACUUUGAAAAGAGAGUUAAACAGUACGUGAAAUUGUCAAAAGGGAAGCGUUUGACACCAGUGUUGUUUUUCUGAAAAUCAAUUAAAGAACUGUUUAUGCUAAGUUGUUUAGACUUUAUCAGCUAACUGUUUAGUUUUGAGCUUUUCUUUAAUGCACUUUUCAGUUAACAAGUCAACAUCAAUUUCUUUUGCUGUAAAAAAGCUUGAGGAAGGUGGCUUGAGAUUCGUCUUAAGUGUUUAUAGCCUCUUGCCUAUGCAGUCGGAGAGAUUGAGGUCCGCAGCGUAGAUCCUUCGGGGCUAAAUGCAUUUGUGCUAAGUUAUAGCAUUUUAUAGACAACUUGUUGACUAUGAUUUGUCUUGUAGCUUACUCGCUUAUGUUAUUUUACCUACGCUUAGGAUGUUGACAGCAGUAUAGACUGU
rnacentral:rRNA from 1 species